rnacentral:piRNA from 1 species
GGUAGAGGAAACUGGAUGCCGACAAAGA